rnacentral:tRNA from 1 species
GCGCAAGUGGCGGAAUUGGCAGACGCGCUAGUUUUAGGCACUAGUUCUUAGGAGUGAGGGUUCAAGUCCCUCCUUGCGCACCA